rnacentral:lncRNA from 1 species
CUGGUGCCAGAGGCCCAGGCACACCUCACGGCCACAUCCCCUCUUCUGUGGGUGUCCCUGAGCCGGGAGGAGCGGGUGGAGCCGUGAGCAAUGGGGGUCCUUUCUGUGGCUGCGCUAGGUGGGGAAGUGGCAGAUAAGCAGGCGAGAGGUACACUGUGUUGGGUGGGCUGGCGGGACGGGAAUAGGGAAAGACCCCCGAGCAGCAGGACAGGUGAGGGGCUGUCCUGCCACCAAGCUCCAGUCCCACGCUGAGCAGGCUCCCUGCUGGCCGGCUCCAUCGUCCCUGAACUCUGAGCUAUCUCCUCCUCUCUCCAUACCAUGGCUCUGCCCUGCAAGACUCCCCGCCUUCGGCCUCUGACGGAGGGCAGUAGCCAGGGCUCUGAGGGCAGGUCUGAAGAGCCAGGACCUCAGUCCAGUCCACCUUUUGCCCAGUGAGCACCAGUCCCAGAGUGGGUCCUGCUGAUGGAGACCACUACCAAGCAGCUCUGAACAGGUUUUAAUAUUUGUUUGUUUUUUUUUGUUUGUUUGUUUUUUUCUCCGGUACCGGGAACUGAACUCACGACCUUGCGCUUGCCAGGCAGGCGCUUUUGCCGCUGAGCUAAAUCCCCAGCCCCAGGUUUUAAUAUUAACCGAUCGGCUUUUCAUGUUUAUGGAUGACUUUGCCCAAGGCUUAGGCCCUGGUCUGGAGAUGGGCAGCAGACUCAUAGUAAAUGAACCUCUACGAGUCACUGGUCCCCGCUGAGGCCUGUAUCGGCCUGUGAAGUUGGGACGCCUCGAAGGACAAGAUAAGGCCACACCUGAGGACAUUUGGCUCCAACCCCAGUUAACUAAAAGGAGACUAGCUGCAGACCCGCCACUCCUGCGGUGAAGGCCUUCCUGGAGGUGCGGCCCCCUGCCUUGCGCUCACCUCCAAGGGCAUCCCCUGCACACUGAGCUCGUCUCCGGGGCCCACUGGCUGUUUAGGACGGCUGCAGAGGGGUCUCCAGGCACAGAGGGUGACAGGCUCCGCUUGGGAACCCUGGCCCUGGCCUCACUCCAAACAGGAAGGUGCGUCCUUUAACAGGGGCAAUCACCCUCACCUCGCCCAGGUGUGCCGCCCCUCACGUGGCCCAGGUGUGUCCCUCAACAGGUACGCUCACCCACUCACCUGGCAGGCUGACGCUCACGUGAUCCCCACUUGGCAGGUGACAGCUGAGGCUCGGAGAAGCGAGCUGCCCCAG